UUUCCACUGACAAAAGCAAAAAGGAGAUUCUCUUUUAUCUCUUCAGACUUCACACAACUUUAAUUCAGACUUUUGUGUUCUAUAAAAGCCAGCCAUUCCAUUUGAGGAGGGCACACUUUCAAAAUUUCAAGAAUUUUCAUAUUGUAAAUUGUGAGUGUUAGUGUGAGUGUGUUGAGUGAGAUUGUACGAGUGUAAGAAUAGUGUGAAGUGAAUGUGCUUGUAGUUAGUGUGCUUGUAUCUUGGAUGAUGUGUUCAAUCUUCUUCUAAGAGUGUGACCUUUAUGGCAGACGAUGUUCCUUAUGAUGGGGCUCCUCCCGAGCUUCCCCCAGUAGACUUCGAGGCAGACAUCGAGACCGAGCCAAAAACCGAGCUAGAGCCGUUACCAUUGAGUGUACGACCUUUUGAUCCAGCGAGGUAUCAUUCUCAAACACACAUAUUGCCCAUUACCGGAAGCAUCAAAUGUUUUACUGAUUUCGCUGACGACGCACCAGAGGACCUCCUGUUGAGGGAGCCAGAGUCUCAUUUAUCGGCCAUUACUGUUGAGGUACGAACUCUGUUUCUGCCUUUAAUUGUUUGCAUUUCUUGCAUUGCCUUCAUUUGACUGUGUCUCAUACACUGCCUUAAUCUGAUUACAUUUCAUGCAUUGCCACAAGGUGAGUCUCGCGCCUUUAGGGGCAAUGGUGCGACGACUGCUCGAGAUUGGUAUGACGAGCUCCCAAUUGGAGUUCGUGACAUUGUUGACAAGGCAGGCUUCGCCCUCUUCUACUCCAGCUUGACUCGGGUUACCGUGAGCUGUCCUCUCUUAGGAGCAUUGGUGGAGAGGUGGUGGGACACCACUAACUCUUUCCACUUUUCCACCACAUGGGAGAUGACGAUGACUCCUUACGACUUUGCCAUGAUCACCAGCUUAGGCGUAGGGAGUGAUCUGAUCCCUCUUGACCCAGAUAUAGAGGAGUGGAGGGCAGCCUGGCUCUAGCUGCUUGGGACACAUCUACCGAUAUACUAGCCAGGCAUGGUGCGAUACACUUGGUUUGAGGAGCAGUUCAGGGGGACUGAGCCUGAGACGAUAAAGGAUACAGUGCAGUAUGCCAGGGGCUUCCUGAUGUUCAUCUUCGAUACCACUUGUUUUCAAACAGGUGGAACACCGUAGGCCUGUAUUUGCUGAGUGCCUUGGUGACUUUUCCUCGAGUUCAGUUUUAUGAUUGGGGCAGAGCCGGCCUCACCAUAUUGUAUGGAUACAUGAGUUCUUCCUCUUGUCAGCGAGGGAACUUAGUUGGAGGCCACAAGCGAGCCUGGGAGCUAUGGAUUUACACAUACUUCCCGACUCUUGCCCCAGUGCCUGCAGAUGAGAUUCUAUUGACGGUUCCCUUUUCUUGAGUAUACGACGGCCAACUUCGCUGUAGGACUUGUGAGCCCUUCAUGUUUUUCCUUGAGUACUUCGAUACGGUAGUGACGCACGAGAUCACAUGCCAGCCCUGGGCCGCGAUACCAACAAAGCUUCGAGCCCAGUACUAUAUGGUUUAGGGUACCUUCCGCUAUCAUAUUCUACUUGAGGACCCGAUUUGCUGAGCCUGGUUCCUAGGCGAGCGCUUUGUGCACCAGACCAUGGGCUUGCUUGCUCCGUUUAUACCGAUGGCACCGCCAGUGUCCAUGAGAGCGACAGACAAGUUAUCUACCGAAGAGGUGAUCAAGUUCAUGGUAGGCUUGGAGAUAGAAUAUUUUUGUGUAGAGGGCGACUACGCAGCCUUUAUCUAGACACACUUGAUGCUGCCUCUGACCGGUGUUCGUGGGGAUGAGAGCUCCUACAGCGAGAAUGAGACGCAGAGUGACCCGGGAAAGCAGAGCCCGUAGCAGAGGGGCUCCCCAAACGAGGUAAGGGAUCGGGUGGCUAGAGCUACCUACUGCACUCACAUGUUGGCGGUAUACUGGAGAGGCCUAUCAGAUUCCAAUUGAGCCCGUAGCAGCUGGGCAUAGAUACACCAGAGCCAAGGAUGCACCUCCGCACCCCCCGGAUAUACCGAGGAUUUGCUUAAGCUACUAGCCUUAUUCGAGGGCAUGAUAUUGAGGAGGAAGGCACUGCUCGGCUUCCAUGGCAUUCAGGUCCCACCCAUACUGGGUGCGCCAGCAGGAGCAGCACCAGGACUAGCAGUGUCUCCUCCGGCAGCAGGGAGAGAAAGACAGGCUCCAGCACACAGCCGAGGCCGAGCUAGGGGCACCCAAGCUGAGAGUGGCCUUUCAGAGCCUAUUAUGAUCGAUGACGACGCUGAGACUAGCGAGGCUGAGGAGGCAGUAAGUCAGCAUUCAAAGUGAUCAGAGAGUGGAGAUGAUGACGCUGGCUUGGGUUUUGAGAGUGGAGAUGCUAAUGUCGAGGAGGGCUUCGAGGUGGAGAGUGGAGGCGGCUAUGGUUCAGACUCUGAUCCAGAUUCAGACAGUGGCAUUGAUGGAGACAGUGCUGCAGAGUCCGUCCCUCCGAGGAAAAUGACGGAGAGGGCCUCUAGAUCCUGAGAUAACUGGCACUGAUCUUUGUAUUUUUGCUUAGUUUCUUUUGGUUUAUAGUGUUAGCACAUUGUACAACUUCAGACGAGUUUUAUUUUCUUUAAAAACUUGUACUGUA